UACGAAGGGUGCAAGCGUUACUCGGAAUUACUGGGCGUAAAGCGUGCGUAGGUGGUUUGUUAAGUCUGAUGUGAAAUCCCCGGGCUCAACCUGGGGAAUGGCAUUGGAUACUGGCAGGCUAGAGUGCGGUAGAGGGUGGUGGAAUUCCCGGUGUAGCAGUGAAAUGCGUAGAGAUCGGGAGGAACAUCUGUGGCGAAGGCGGCCACCUGGACCAGCACUGACACUGAGGCACGAAAGCGUGGGGAGCAAACAGG
rnacentral:rRNA from 1 species